rnacentral:rRNA from 1 species
AUUGGACGCUGGCGGCAUGCCUUACACAUGCAAGUCGAACGGCAGCACGGGAGCAAUCCUGGUGGCGAGUGGCGAACGGGUGAGUAAUAUAUCGGAACGUGCCCAGUGAUGGGGGACAGCCCGGCGAAAGCCGGAUUAAUACCGCAUACGACCUACGGGUGAAAGCAGGGGAUCGCAAGACCUUGCGUCAUUGGAGCGGCCGAUAUCAGAUUAGCUUGNGGUGGGGGUAAAGCCUACCAAGGCGACGAUCUGUAGCUGGUCUGAGAGGACGACCAGCCACACUGGGACUGAGACACGGCCCAGACUCCUACGGGAGGCAGCAGUGGGGAAUUUUGGACAAUGGGCGCAAGCCUGAUCCAGCCAUGCCGCGU